UCUCCGUCUCCCCUCCACCCAAAAGAGAGGAACACAAUAAAAAAUAAGAAAAAAAGAAAGCAAGCAUUUAGUAGUGAGAUUGCUUCUGGGGGCUCGUUGCAAUGUAUCGGUUGGCUGCUAAUCUGGUUUCAAAAGCCUGUGUUGCUAGGAAUGCUACUCAACAGGUUGGAAGUCGAUUGGCUUGGAUUAGGAAUUAUGCUGCGAAAGACAUUCUAUUUGGAGUGGAAGCACGGUCCCUGAUGCUACAGGGUGUUGACGAGCUCGCUGAUGCUGUUAAAGCCACAAUGGGUCCUAAAGGUCGCAAUGUUGUUCUAGAACAGAGUUUCGGCACCCCUAAAGUGACAAAGGAUGGCGUCACUGUUGCAAAGAGUAUUGAAUUUAAAGACAGAGUAAAGAAUAUUGGUGCUAGCCUUGUAAAGCAGGUUGCAAAUGCUACAAAUGAUGUUGCUGGAGAUGGUACCACAUGUGCAACAAUCCUCGCACGUGCAAUAUAUUCUGAAGGGUGCAAGUCAGUUGCCGCUGGAAUGAAUCCUAUGGACUUACGACGUGGGAUCUCAAUGGCAAUUGAUUCUGUGGUGACUAACUUGAAAAGCAGGGCUAGGAUGAUCAGUACAUCUGAGGAAAUAGCCCAGGUUGGAACUAUUUCAGCAAAUGGAGAAAGGGAGAUUGGUGAGCUUAUAGCAAAGGCUAUGGAAAGAGUGGGCAAAGAAGGUGUUAUUACUAUCGCUGAUGGGAAAACACUAUAUAAUGAGUUGGAAGUUGUAGAAGGAAUGAAGCUCGAUAGGGGCUAUAUUUCACCUUACUUUGUCACCAAUCAAAAGAAUCAAAAAUGCGAAUUGGAGGAUCCUCUGAUUCUUAUCCAUGAAAAGAAAAUUGGAAGCAUAAAUGCUGUGGUAAAAGUGCUGGAGUUAGCCUUGAAGGUGCGGCAAAGACCUUUGCUGAUUGUUUCUGAGGAUGUUGAAAGUGAUGCUUUAGCCACUUUGAUACUAAACAAGCUUCGUGCAGGAAUUAAGGUUUGUGCCAUUAAAGCUCCUGGUUAUGGAGAAAACAGAAAGGCCAAUUUACAGGAUCUUGCCAUUCUCACAGGAGGCGAAGUCAUAACUGAUGAGCUUGGUUUGAACCUGGAAAAGGUGACAAUAGAUAUGCUUGGCUCAUGCAAGAAGGUUUCAGUGUCAAAGGACGAUACUGUUGUCCUUGAUGGAGCUGGUGACAAAAAGACCAUUGAGGAAAGAUGCGAGGAGAUUCGCUCUGCCAUUGAACUAAGUACAUCUGAUUAUGACAAGGAGAAGCUUCAGGAAAGGCUAGCUAAGCUUUCUGGUGGAGUCGCUGUUUUGAAGAUUGGAGGGGCAAGUGAAGCAGAGGUCAGUGAGAAGAAGGAUAGGGUCACUGAUGCUUUAAACGCUACGAAGGCAGCUGUUGAGGAGGGCAUUGUACCAGGUGGUGGAGUUGCCCUUCUUUAUGCUUCAAAGGAACUGGAGAACCUACAAACUUCCAACUUUGAUCAAAAGAUUGGUGUUCAGAUUAUUCAGAAUGCGCUCAAGGCACCAGUUCAGGCAAUUGCUUCCAAUGCUGGAGCUGAGGGUGCAGUUGUUGUUGGUAAACUAAUGGAGCAAGACAACCCUGAUCUAGGAUAUGAUGCAGCUAAAGGUGAAUAUGUGGACAUGAUAAAGGCUGGUAUAAUGGACCCACUGAAAGUUAUUAGAACAGCUUUAGUUGAUGCUGCAAGUGUAUCUUCUCUUUUAACCACGACGGAGGCUGUUGUUGUGGAACAUCCCAAGGACGAGAAAGAAUCCACAGCAAUGGCAGCAGGCAUGGGCUUUUGAAUCUAGAGGAACACUUGACGUUCUUUUGUUUAUUUGCUCAGGGCAGGAUACACUAUUGUUAUUGUAUCAGAGAACAGCGUAGGAAGUUCACGGCUAGUUUGACACUGACUGACUGCAUAAUGUGGUAGAUACGUACAGGGUGUUCUGAGUUGAAGUUAUUCGAUUAGAGUUGGAGAAUAAGCGCUAUCAUCUUCUCACUCUAGAGUCUAGACUCUUGGGGAAGAAGAGGGGAAAUAAGUUUUGAAAGUUGUUGAAAUGUCUGAUUAUUACCUGCAUGCCUGCAUUUUUUUUCAUCUUAUUUUUGUUAAAAGGAAAGAGUUCUUGCUGGGCUUGUUGCAUCCAUCCUUGUUACGGUAGUAGGCUACAUAGGUUGCAUCAGGAUGAUUGUUUUCUUUUGUUUCGUUUUUUAUUGGGAAUUCCAGGUAAUCUCAGUAACUUAUCUUCUUAGCGUUGUUGUAUUCAUCAAUCAAUUUACAGU